rnacentral:rRNA from 1 species
GACGAACGCUGGCGGCGUGCUUAACACAUGCAAGUCGAGCGGAAAGGCCCUUCGGGGUACUCGAGCGGCGAACGGGUGAGUAACACGUGAGUAACCUGCCCCAGACUUUGGGAUAACCCUCGGAAACGGGGGCUAAUACCGGAUACGACACAGCUUCGCAUGGGGUCUGUGUGGAAAGUUUUUCGGUUUGGGAUGGGCUCGCGGCCUACCAGCUUGUUGGUGGGGUGAUGGCCUACCAAGGCGACGACGGGUAGCCGGCCUGAGAGGGCGACCGGCCACACUGGGACUGAGACACGGCCCAGACUCCUACGGGAGGCAGCAGUGGGGAAUAUUGCACAAUGGGCGGAAGCCUGAUGCAGCGACGCCGCGUGAGGGAUGACGGCCUUCGGGUUGUAAACCUCUUUCAGCAGGGACGAAGCGUAAGUGACGGUACCUGCAGAAGAAGCGCCGGCCAACUACGUG